GACAGAGGUCCCAAGCGUUAGGCGGAAUCACUGGGCUUAAAGCGUGUGUAGGCGGAUGCCUAAGUACCUUGUGAAAUCCCACGGCUCACCCGUGGAACUGCUUGGUAUACUGGGUGUCUUGAGCCACUUAGGGGCUACCGGAACAAAUGGUGGAGCGGUGAAAUGCGUAGAUAUCAUUUGGAACGCCAAUGGUGAAAACAGGUAGCUGGGAGUGUGCUGACGCUGAGACACGAAAGCCAGGGGAGCAAACGGG
rnacentral:rRNA from 1 species